UUCAAGUAGUAUCUUUUCUCAAGCGUAGCUCCAUCGGUGCAUGCUUCACUAGUGUGUGUGUGCGUACUAGCCUAGAGAGCCCGAGCGUACCAUCACUUUGCUCUUUCACCAGUCAUCUAUCAGUAUACUCGAGUGCUAGCGAGUAGUUCUGGGCUAACAAUGAAGGGGCUCAUGUAGCGCGUCAUGGCGGUGUAGAUGGCUCACAGGUCGACCGUGGGCGGUGGGUGUUGGUAGAGUUUGGUGUGCUUGCGGCGGCGCGACGACUGUUGGUGUGUUUGCACGAUGGCUGUUAGAGCAUGCCCCGGCGUCUCCGAGAGCGUGAGGAAUAGGAAGCGGGUGGUUGCGCCAUUAUGUAGGGCAGCCUCCUGCUGUAGCGCAAGGAACUAACUCGCCGAACUCCGGCGGGAUCGGGGCAGAGAGCAGCUCCGUGUAGAUGGCCAGCGUAUCGAGGUUCUCGAGUCGCCCGGAGGGGGCCAAAGAUACAGGUCUCCGUGAGGCCGAGCAUGGUGAGAUUGGAGCAAUUGCCGAUCUCCUACUCGUGGGUUCGGCCACUCCGGUGGAGGAUGCCAUGCACCCGACAAGCACAUUGCGCACGUAGCAGAACGUGGGGCAGGCCAAUGGAGGCGUUGUCGCGUGAUCCAGAGCAUGUACGAGUGCAGCUAGAACUUCAAGGUCGUCAUGCCGCCGCGGCCGAUCAGCAAGGAAAUCCACAGCGGCACCGCAAGCGCGCGCUCCAUGCCAUGGAGCGGCUUUUUGGCGCAGCCGCCGCUAGCAUGGUCCGGAUAGUUUCUCCAACGAUGGAUGGAAUCUGGGUGGGCAGGAGGUCGAGGAGGGAGGCGACUCGCGGCGUUCGAUCAUGAGUACGAUUGGACGACACGGGACGGCAACCCGUCGGCAGGCUGAACGGGCGCGAGCUUAGCGGCGUCAUGAACAUCAUCAACAAGCUGUGCCUCUAUGGUUCUUCUCCUAUCUCGCGCGCGUCGUCCGUCAUGCAGGAUCUGAAUCUCAAUGUCGAGGACCUCGGUGCCCGUCCUUCAGUCCUUGCUAUCCCGGGGCCUUCCUUCUUGAUCAUGACGCACUGGUCAGACGGAGCAAUGCGAUGCAGGCCAGCCAGAAGUGCGAGCACUAUGUCAACGCCACCGCUGCGCAUUCCAGGCCUGCAAGGUCAAUCUCCCGCACGAGUGGACGUAUUGAGAUGCAUAUUGCUCUCUUCUCUGCGACCAAGCAUUGACCGUCUCCCUUGGUUUCCAUGGAUCACUAUAUUUAAUUGAUCAUUAGCGCCAGGUAGAUCUUAGCUACAAGUAGGAGGUGGUGGCAGUACCAUCAGCGUUAGGCCGGUGUUCUUUUGUGUGCGUCGUGAAACGUUAUUUUAGAUGGUUGGUGAUGGAUGCAGACGAACAACGGAGAAGAAUGAAAAAUAUUAGAGUGAAAGACUUUGGGGAAUGGUUAUUUCAGCAAUGCAUGGUUAAUUGAUUAAGCUAUAGUAUUUUAAAUGAUUUCAAAAGAUAUUUUGAACAA